AGAGUUUGAUCCUGGCUCAGAACGAACGCUGGCGGCAGGCUUAACACAUGCAAGUCGAACGCGUGUAGCAAUACACGAGUGGCGCACGGGUGAGUAACGCGUGGAUAUCUGCCUUUUGGUUCGGAAUAACCCCGGGAAACUGGGGCUAAUACCGGAUGGUUCCUACGGGAUAAAGAUUUAUCGCCAAAAGAUGAGUCCGCGUCCGAUUAGCUAGUUGGUGGGGUAAUGGCCUACCAAGGCAGUGACGGGUAGCUGGUCUGAGAGGACGGCCAGCCACAAUGGGACUGAGACACGGCCCAUACACCUACGGGUGGCAGCAGUUGGGAAUUGUUCACAAUGCGCGAAAGCGUGAUGACGCAAUGCCGCGUGGAGGAAGACGGCCUUCGGGUUGUAAACUUCUUUUAUGUGGGACGAUUAUGACGUACCACAUAAUUAGACUGUG
rnacentral:rRNA from 1 species